AGUCAGCUAAUAAAUAAAUUAAAAAAAAAAAAAAGUCAAACUAAGUGCCAAUGGACUUUGUAUCCGGCUAAUAAAUAAAUUAAUUGUCAAACUAAAUGUCACUUUAAAGUUUAACCUCUUGAUGUUGAUGUGGUGUGAUUAUUUAAGUUUUUGUGCGAAAAAAUGUCGAAAACCAUUAAAAGCAGUGCCCGGAGCUUGCUAUAUACAAUGAUUAGAUUAUGAACAGAGAAAGAUAUAUAAAGAAAGGAUGAUAUAUAUCAGCGCUUCAAGGAAAACCAAUAAUUUUAUUUCAGCUGCAAGUCUGUCUGAUGAAGAUUUUAAACGUCAGAUCGAAGACAGUCAAAGAAGUUGAGAAAAAAGAUCUGAUUACCUCUGAAUCCAGUUGCCCAUUUAUCUAAACUGACAGAAGUUGGUGUCAACACAAUGAGGAGGAUAAAAAAAGGAAGGUUCCUUAAACCAAUGUGUGUGGAACACGCCAGGAAAAAACGCCUACGCAAGCCCAGUGUUUCAAACUUAGAUGAUUUUGACAUAUACACAAUUCGUAAUAAAAUAAAUGAAUUUUACUGCAUUAAAAAACAAGUUCCAAAAAUAAGAACUUUGUUUAUUGAACUGCGAGAAUAUAUUAGAUUCAUUAAGGUAAAAGAUACAGCAUAGUCCAUGCUGGUUCUGAGAAGGGUUUUGUGCCCAAUCCAUUUUUGUGAUGAUAUGAACGGCAAUAACUUCAUGAAAUUGAAGGAAGAAAAAUUGAUACCCAAAUUAACUGAACAUAGUGUUAUUGUAAUUGAUAAUGUGAGUUAUCGUGUAACUCAAAUUAACAAACUAGCUACGAUGAGCAGUUUAAAGGCUGAUAUUCAGAAGUGGCUCACCGAAAAUGACAACAGACAGUGACACCGACUCGACCUUUGACAAAACUUUUACAAUGGCUGAGCUUUUGUGUCUUGUCACAAAAACCAAACCCACUCCCCUGUACGAAGUUGAGGAACUGAUAAAACAGCAUGGACAUGAGGUCAUCAUUGCCGCCAUAUUAUUGUGAUCUCAAUGCUAUAUAAUUGAUUUGGAUCUUGACAAAAAGCAAAGAAUCAUUUAAAGGCAUUGAUUUUGAUUGGGUUCCAAAUGAAUAAAUAUUUUUGAGUUUAA